UUUUGUUUAGUUAUGUAAUGUUAAGUUGUAACCCUUAAUUGAAAGUAACUAAGCUUAUUGUUGAGCGCCAUUUAUCGUAACUCAAAAAUAAUAAUAAUAAAAUAAAAAAUAAAAAAAAAUUUAAUUGAUUGAGGGUAAGUAAUAGUGUGACUGAGAGUGAGAGUUACUUAUGAUUCGAGGGUUAUAAAAUAACAAUAUGAAUAUUCUUAUGGAUUUAAAAAUCUUACUUGAUAAUAUUUCUUUAGUUGUUAAAAAAACUUCAGUGAUAAAAUUAAUAAAAUGAUAAAUAAAGUAACACAAAUUUUUAGUUCACAAAUCAAGCAGGUAAGAAUUUCGACAACGAGUAUCGCAAUAUACAAGUAACGAUAUUUGGAGCACGAAAUGAACAGGCCAGAAUAAGGUUUGUAAAAUAACGUGAUCAACGUGAGGAUAAAUUGAAGACUAUCAUCCACAGAUAAAAAUGAGUAUGAUAAAUAAAGAUUGGUUGAAUGGUAUGAAAAAUAAACGUAGAAUGUGUGUGUCUGAUCUUAAAAUAGGAGUAGAAUACAAGGUUCUGGGACUGUACGUGAUAAAAUCAAAAUACUCGAAUGAGACUCCAGUGGCUGAAGUAAAACUUGAUAAUGAACCGUCAUUUCAAGUUUAUUUACCCGCAAGAUUUACAUUCACUCGUGAAGAUUUAAACAAAGGAAUCGAUGAAAAUC